rnacentral:rRNA from 1 species
CCUACGGGUGGCAGCAGUGGGGAAUAUUGGACAAUGGGGGCAACCCUGAUCCAGCCAUGCCGCGUGUGUGAAGAAGGCCCUCGGGUUGUAAAGCACUUUCAGUGAGGAAGAACGCCUGGUGGUUAAUACCCAUCAGGAAAGACAUCACUCACAGAAGAAGCACCGGCUAACUCCGUGCCAGCAGCCGCGGUAAUACGGAGGGUGCGAGCGUUAAUCGGAAUUACUGGGCGUAAAGCGCGCGUAGGUGGCUUGAUAAGCCGGUUGUGAAAGCCCCGGGCUCAACCUGGGAACGGCAUCCGGAACUGUCAAGCUAGAGUGCAGGAGAGGAAGGUAGAAUUCCCGGUGUAGCGGUGAAAUGCGUAGAGAUCGGGAGGAAUACCAGUGGCGAAGGCGACCUUCUGGACUGACACUGACACUGAGGUGCGAAAGCGUGGGUAGCAAACAGGAUUAGAUACCCUUGUAGUC